GAAGAUUGGUAACAGAUGUUAGCUCAGGGCCAAUCUUCCUCAGCAAAAAAAUUUUUAAAAAUAAAUAAAAUAGCUGGUUUGCAAUAGGGUUGCCAGACUUAGCAAACAAAAAUACAAGAUGUCCAAGAUAAACAACAAAUAACUUUUGAAGAUAAGUAUGUCCUCUGAAGUUUAGUCCCAAGACUAAAAGUGACUCAGUGCUUACCUGAAGUUCACAUCUACCUGGGCACCCUGUAUUUUGCCCAGCAGCGCUGCCUUGAACACCACGCCCUCCUUGCCCCCUGAUCCCAGCACCACUCCUGCUCACCCCAGUAACCACACGCCAGCAAAGCCCGUCAGCUCGACCUUCCAGACAGAUCUCGAAUCCCACCACUCCUGACCACCUCCAACACUGCCGCAGGCUCUGCCACCCACCGCCCAGCUCCCACUCUGAUCCCACAUCACCCAUUCCUGCCCGGAACCCAAGCUCCUCAGAGCAGCCUGGACAACCUCAGCGAGGCCUUCUGUCCCUUCUGCCCUGCUGACCAACCCUUAAGGGCUUCCCACCUCACAGAAGGGGGUCCAAACACCCCUGCAUGAAGCCAGCCCUACUCACCUGUGUGCCCCCUAAGCCUGCGUGCCUUACACGCCUGUGUGCCCCCGGCCUCUCCUCAUUACUGCUUCCACCUUUGGCCACAGGGGUGCUCUUGCUCGUCCUCAGACACAUGAAGUUGGCAUCUGUACUGCUGCUCCUCAAAUGAGAAGGCUCCCCCUCCACUGACCCCCGACAGCGCGAAGCUCUGCUCUGCCGUCACACGCCCCCAAGCUGCUGUCCCCACCCACCCCAGGCCUCCCACACUACUUUUUUACGUUUCCUGACCCUUCUUCCUGCCUAAAUAUUCACACUUCAGUCAGCUUCCCCACUGGGACCGUUCACCGCUGUGCCCAGUGCCUGGAACCAGUCCUGGCCAACACAGCACACAGAUCUCUUUCUUAAACAGUUGAGUGAUGGCUGGAUGCCAUCAGAGGGGAAUCGAGCCUUAGAUGCAGUCUGCUGGCAGUGCCCUUUCCAAACCUGAGGCUCUACAAUUCUCUAGAAGCUAGCUAACUAAAAGGCCCAGGCCCAUCCAAGUUGUCCCAUGAAAAGGACCCGCAGAUGUAGGAUAACGCGUGACCACCAGGAAGAGUGGAAACGCACAUCCUCAAUAUUUAACUAAGUUUGCAACUCUGCCCACAUGGGAUGCAACAAGCGCCAGAGGACUCACGUGCCUUCUCAUCUGGAGAGCCCUGAGCACAGUCCGGAAGCUGAGCCCGACUCCCGGCGCCCCCGCGUCCUCCCAGCUCAGCGAGAGGCCCAUGCGUGUGCCCUGUAACAGGCCGUGAAGGGUGCUGCACAGCUAGGACAGCGCUCACCGGCUCCACACACUUUCCAGGCAUGGGCUACCAGAGCUGACAGGUCAGAGGCUGGCGAAGGAGCGGCUUUCCUGGGUGCCCGAGGGAUCGAGGGAGGCGCCAGGUUCAGACCCCAGGCAACUGAUGCACGAACGCCAGGGAGGGGGCUCUCGGGACGCACCGCGACACCAAGGCAGAAGGAUGGAGCAAAGAAUUCACAGUCACCAGCUCAGCUUUUAAUUUGUGAAACUUCCAGGGAGGUUUCAGAGGAUGGAACUGAUGGGGUUCAGGGCCGGCCGCCCCGAGAUGCGCCACUCUGGUAUGCGGACUAUUUCGAGCUGAAGACAAUGAAGGCUCAAAGGCUCAGGAAGAGCAUCCGACCCCAUCACCCCCCCAAACUGCCUAAAAGACUUCAGCACAGGAGGCCUGUUCCAGGACGGAGCCCGCACCGUGGGAGAGCUGUAGCAGGAUGGAAACUGUGAUAAAAGGACACCAACAAGCCCAUUUUUGGGGCCCAGCAAAACCCGUUUAACAAACGUUGGCGUUCCAUCUCUAUGUAAAUUGUCUUCCUCCUCUUUGAAGCCCCAAAUCACUGUCCCCAACAUCCUCCUUGUCUGUGGCUGGACACUUAAACAGGCAGCCUCGGCCAGACCGCUGAGUUACUCAGUUUCUUCUGGGUUUCUCUCGUGUACACAUGCUAUUAAACUUUGAUUGAUUUUCUCCUGCUAA